CCUACGGGAGGCAGCAGUGAGGAAUAUUGGUCAAUGGCCGCAGGGCUGAACCAGCCAAGUCGCGUGAGGGAUGACGGUCCUAUGGAUUGUAAACCUCUUUUGUCAGGGCGCAAAGGGCGCCACGUGUGGCGCUUUGCGAGUACCUGAAGAAAAAGCAUCGGCUAACUCCGUGCCAGCAGCCGCGGUAAUACGGGGGAUGCGUGCGUUAUCCGGAUUUAUUGGGUUUAAAGGGUGCGCAGGCGGAAGGACAAGUCAGCGGUAAAAUUUCGGGGCUCAACCCCGUCGUGCCGUUGAAACUGGCGUUCUUGAGUGAGCGAGAAGUAUGCGGAAUGCGUGGUGUAGCGGUGAAAUGCAUAGAUAUAACGCAGAACUCCGAUUGCGAAGGCAGAAUACCGGCGCUUAACUGACGCUCAUGCACGAAAGCGUGGGUAUCGAACAGGAUUAGAUACCCGUGUAGUC
rnacentral:rRNA from 1 species